GACGAACGCUGGCGGCGUGCUUAACACAUGCAAGUCGAACGGUGACGGAGAGCUUGCUCCCCUGAUCAGUGGCGAACGGGUGAGUAACACGUGGGCAACCUGCCCCAGACUUCGGGAUAACGCUUCGAAAGAGGUGCUAAUACCGGAUACGAACUCCUUGGGCAUCCUUGGGGUUGGAAAGUUUUUCGGUCUGGGAUGGGCCCGCGGCCUAUCAGCUUGUUGGUGAGGUAACGGCUCACCAAGGCGACGACGGGUAGCCGGCCUGAGAGGGCGACCGGCCACACUGGGACUGAGACACGGCCCAGACUCCUACGGGAGGCAGCAGUGGGGAAUAUUGCGCAAUGGGCGAAAGCCUGACGCAGCAACGCCGCGUGAGGGAUGACGGCCUUCGGGUUGUAAACCUCUUUCAGCAGGGAAGAAGCGAAAGUGACGGUACCUGCAGGAGAAGCACCGGCUAACUACGUGCCAGCAGCCGCGGUAAAAC
rnacentral:rRNA from 1 species